GGGUCGUUAGCUCAGUUGGUAGAGCAGCUGGCUUUUAACUAGUAGGUCGAGCGUUCGAGUCGCUCACGACCCACCA
rnacentral:tRNA from 1 species